rnacentral:rRNA from 1 species
AUGAACGCUAGCGGCAGGGCUUAACACAUGCAAGUCGAGGGGCAGCAUGAGACGGAGAUUCGUCGAAGUCUUGAUGGCGACCGGCGCAAGGGUGCGUAACGCGUGAGCAACUUGCCCGUUUCUGGGGAAUAACCGGUGGAAACGCCGACUAAUACCCCAUAGUAUCAGAUUUAGGCAUCUUUAUCUGAUUAAAGAAUUUCGGAAACGGAUAGGCUCGCGUGACAUUAGCUAGAUGGCGGGGUAACGGCCCACCAUGGCAACGAUGUCUAGGGGUUCUGAGAGGAAGGUCCCCCACACUGGAACUGAGACACGGUCCAGACUCCUACGGGAGGCAGCAGUGAGGAAUAUUGGUCAAUGGGCGAGAGCCUGAACCAGCCAAGUAGCGUGAGGGACGACUGCCCUAUGGGUUGUAAACCUCUUUUGAUUGGGAACAAAGAGCGCCACGUGUGGUGCGUUGCGUGUACCUUUCGAAUAAGCAUCGGCUAAUUCCGUG